UUGAGUGGUUCAGCUCAGCACAAAGAACUAGAGCACAAUGAGGAGUUCUCCUUUGUUAGUAAUCCCACCGCACCUCUCUUCAAGCUAUUUUGUUACUUGCCAGGUCAAAAUAAGAAAGUGAGUCUGCAAAGUUCUCAGCUGUAUUCAUUUCCUGCCUGCCCCAUGGUUAUAUGGCCAGCAUCUCUGAUUAGUUCUAUUUACAUAUUACAUAUAUCACUGUCACAAUUAAUCUACAGGAAGCUGGUUUCUCAGUUGAACCACUCAGUGUUUACAACUAGCUCUCCACAAGUGUACAGCAAUGACAUCAGUGCUCAUUAGACAACUGCGUUUUAAUGACCAGCUUCCGGAAGUGCUCACCUAGGACAGUCACACACAUUUUAAAAUGUGUUUUUUUAAGUGUGGUAUUCACAGGAAAUGCUGAAGGCAGGAAUGUACUCUAAAUCCUGCCCAAAAUAACCUACUGGAUUUAUUUCAGUCCUACAGAAACCCAGAGGGAUUCCUCACAUGACAACCUGCUUUUUUUCGAAGAGGAAGAUUUUAGCAAUCCAUGCUAAGUGCAAGAAACAGCAAGUACUGGGCUGUGUUUUCUGGUCCUUCUGUGAAAGGUGUGGAAGAACAGAAUGGAGAGAUGAUCAGGCAAGAGGGCUGUGACUCCUGGUCCACUGAAUAUUAGCCAUGAGAUCAAACUCCCUGCAGCAGACAAGGGAAUAAAAUCUGUUUUACAUCAGAACUGAGUCUGCUAUCACUGAGCUACUGUGUGGUUUCAGCAGAGCCCUCAUGCUGGAUGUCAGUCAUGUCCUCACUUGGCUUUUCCAGAUUCCAAAAUAUCUCAGGGAUGCUGCAGCACAGGUUGAACUACUACGUCAGGCAUUGUCAAUCCUCCAUAAUGCAGAACUAGGGAAGCCAUAAGGAGCAUUUCAUAUUAAAAAGGCAGCUCUGCAGUGAACAGGGCUACUCCAGAGCUGGGAGAGCACUCAAAACAGGUUUGGAAGGUCACACCUAGGUAUUUAGGAUGAAACUAGGCAGGACCUAAGAGCUUAGGUUCUACUGUAAAGCCGCCCUUGAUGGCUGCAGUGUUGCAGCAUGUGCUCUCUCAGUAUAAUACUGAGGCACUGAUACAGAUAGACCUAAUACUGCCUAUUUAAAGCACAACUAAAAUUUCCGCAAUAAUACUUUCUUCAGCUUAUAUGUUAUUAUAUUUUAUUCACUGUUACUUCUUCCUGAUAGUACAUUGUUCUGAUGUCCUGAUUUAGCUGACGUAAAUAGUCCUAGCUUUUACAAAUUAGUAUGGUGGAUUGCUCAUCACAGCAGUAAAAAAAUUGGUACCAAACAACUAAAAAAUUAAGUCUCUCAAUCCUCACUAAAUAGAUAUAUGUAUAUAAAUAUAUUAUCUUCUAAGUCUGUCAAAAGAAGACAGCGUCUUAAGAUUUUAAAGCUCCUAGUCACUUUGAUUUUUCUCUUCAGUAAUUACCCAAAGAAGUUCACUACUAAAAUUAGAUAUAACUUAAUAAUAAUUCCAGGUCAAAUUUGAAUGAGUAUGACAUCUUCAGAAUGACAGAGAAAUUUUCCAGGAAGGUUCAACUAUUUUUUGAGGAUUGAGAAAAGUUGUAUUCUAAAAGACAAGCUGGGGCAGUUUUAUUUCCUAGACAAUGAAAGUUUUGCAGUACUAGUUUCCUUUUCCUCCUCCCAAUCUGUUAUAAAUCUUCUCUUAUGAGGAGGCUGGCUUCAAGGUAGGGACGCUCAUUGUCAGCAUUCACUGGCCAGUCAUAGUCUCUUGUCUUCUUAACUAAUACCAGAAUUUCCAAUAAAAGUCAUCGGUUAUCAAGCAUCAGGGUAACACUGGCUUUCCCAAAACUGCCAUCCAGUUUCUUCUUCAGAUUUGCAAGAACCCUUAAGAAAAGCUUGCUGGUUUGCCUAACACAGUAAUAUGCUGAGGGCUGUGAAUCUUAGUUAGCCUUCAGAAAAGCUUCAGGCAUAGCAGAGGUAAAGCUCUGCUCUAGUAAAGUACUUAUGCGUAUGUUUAAUUUCAGUCAUACAAAAAAGCUUAUCCGAUGAAAUUUGCUGUGUUGGAUUGGAGACUACGUGAUCUGGCUAAGAUCUGAGACAUUUUGGGAUGCAGCAGAUGUGAGUAGCAACAUAAGAAAGAAUUGAACCCACUCUGAAUGCUAGGCAGCAGUAUGGAUUUUAUGGAUUCC
rnacentral:lncRNA from 1 species